AAGCUUCUUUAUAUAAAAUUAUCUAUCAACUUCCAUUGCUUAGCCCAUAUAUGUGAAGCAUGCUUGAUGAAAUAUAUUAUGAAAAAGAAGGUGCUUAUUAAUUAAACCCAAUUAGCAAAUCAUUCAAGUAUUUGAACAUGGAGAUGAUAUUGUUGAAUGGCUCGAUGGAAAGAGAAGAAAAACAGCCUCAAAAGGACCUUCAGGUUACCACCUCUACUUUCCUGGAAACAUCUCCCUAUAAUGACCAGCUACUGUGUCCAAAUUUCCUGGAAAAUUUGUGCUUGUACCUGAUGGCCUG
rnacentral:misc_RNA from 1 species